ensembl:lncRNA
UUUUUUUUUUUUUUUUACCAUUGAUCCUGACACACUGCAAGGGACUAACAUCUCAUUCCCUUUUUUAAAAAUAACUGUAUGUGAAUAACUGUAUUCACAUACCAUAAAAUUCACUCUUUAAAAGUGUAUAAUUCAGUUGCUUUUAGUACGUUCGCUGAGUCUAAUUUCAGAAUAUUUUCUCAACUCUCCUGGGGAAAAAUAAAUAUCCAUUAGGGUCACUCCAAUUUCUUCUUGCAGCCCCUGGCAACCACUAAUCUAGUUUUUGUUGCCGUAUAAUUACCUAUUUUGAACAUUUCACAUAAAUAGAACUAUUUUGUGACUGGAUUCUUUUACUUAGCUUAAUGUUUUCAAAGUUGAUCCAUGUUGUAGCAUGUAUCAGUAUUUCAUUCUUUUUCUGGCUGAAUAAUACUCUGUUGUAUGGAUACACAGUAGACUUCCCUUAUCUGGAGGGGAUAUAUUCCAAGCCUCCCAGUGGACGCCUGAAACCUCGAUGGUACCGAACUCAAUUGCCAUCAGUCAGAACAUGUUUCUAUUGAUGUCUUCCACCCACAAAUUUAAUGAAUUUUCCACUUUAACUAAGCCCUUAACAGGCAUUGUGGCCAUAACUUUUGCAGUUUGAGGUGUGACAGCAAAACUAGCAUAAAUUUCUUUUUCCUUCUUCACAAUUUCACAGAUAGAAGAUUCAUUCCUACCAUAGAUUUUAGCAAUCUCAGCAUACAAUCUUUUUUCUUUCUUUAUUAAGACAAGAACUUUUACCUUUUGAGUCAAAAGAGGCACUUGAUGGCUUCUCUUUAGCAUAUCUGAAUCAGCAUUACUACUCUUGCAUUUUGGAGCCAUUAUUAAGUAAAAUAAGGAUGACUUGAACAUAAGUUCUAUGAUGCCUGAGAUGACCAAGUGACUAGCAGGUAGGUAACAUAUAGUGUGGAGACGCUAGACAAAGGAAUGAUUCAUGUCCCAGGCAGGACAGAGUGGGAUGAUGCCAGAUUUCAUCACACUCAGAAUGGUAUGCAAUUUAAAACAUAUGAAUUGCUUAUUUCUAGAAUUUUCCAUUUACUAUUUUCAGACUGAAGUUUACCACAGAUAACUGCAGCCACGGAAAGCAAGACCACAGAUAAGGGGGCACUGCUUACCACAUUUUGUUUAUCCAUUCACCAAUUGAUAGACAUGUUGUUUUCAUCUUUUGGCUAUUGUUAACAAAUGCUGCUAUUUAUCUCCGUGUACAACUCUUGCGUGUACAUGUUUUCAUUUCUCUUGGCUGUAUAUCAAGGAAUGGAAUUGCCGGGUCACAUUUUGAGAAAUUGCCAAACUGUUUUCCAAAACAGUUGCUCCAUUUACAAUCUCAUCAGCAGUUAUGAAGUUUCUCACUUCUUCACAUCAGUGUCAGCACUUGUUAUUGUCUGUAUCUUAGCCAUCCUAAGUAGCCAUCCUUAACCAUGAGGAGUGAAGUGAUAUCUCAUUAUUGUUUGAUUUACAUUUCUCUGUUGACAAAUGAUGUUGCACAUCUUUUUAUAUGCUUGUUAACUUUUGUAUACUUUGGAGAAAUGUCUGUUCAGAUCUUUUAACCAUUUUUAAUUGGGUCAGUCUUCUUUUUAUUGUACUGUUACAAGAGUUCUUUAUAUAUUUUGUAUACAAGUCCUUUAUGAGAUCAAUGAUUCACAAACGUUUUCUCUUAUUCUGGAGGCUGUCUCUUUUCUUGAUGAUGUACCUUGAAACACAAAAGUCUUAUAUUUUGAUGUCUCAUUUUUCUAUUUUUUUCUUUUGUUGCUUGUGCUUUUGUGUUAUGUCUAAAAAAAUAUUUCUUAAUACAAGGUCACAAACGUUUACUCCUAUGGUUUUUUUUCCUAAGGGUUUUAAAGUUUUAGCUCUUACAUUUAGGCCUAUGACUCAUCUGAGUUAAUUUUCAUUAUGUGGUGUGAGAAAGAGAUUCCCCAACUAGUGGCUGCAAGUCAGCUUCCCUGUCUCUCAGCUUCAAGACUUUUCUUCCUGGUAGCCAGCCAGCUUUUUUUCCUGGUAGAUUCCUGUUACACACAAUGGGCUUUUUCUCACUACUAACACUAAAUCUCUUUUUCAUAACUUACUUUGUCAAAAUAUGACUCAACUAAAACCUG